AUAGAAAGUGCGCCUGUCGGAAUCUAGGGGAGCCAAAUAGGAUCUCUAGGGGCAAUGGCGGUUUCCUAUGAGGUGUCGGUGAUUUGGUUGAUGAAUCUCUAGGGGCAAGGGCGGUUUCCUAUAAUUAGUUUACUGGGUUUCAGUUUGAUUGCAUGAUUUCUGGUUUGUUGAAGAGGAGAAUUAAUGAAGGCAAUUAGGGUAGUACAAUCAUCGAUGUCGAGUGUACAAUACAAUCCUAAUGGGUUUCUUGCUUAAUCCAUUCUUAGUCCAGGUUCAAAGGAGUUGGCACAACGUGAGUGCUUCCAAAUGGUCUAAAUGCCAAUGUUAAGAAAUUCAGUGAAGCACAGGUUAGAGAUAUACGCAGCUAUGGCGUUCGUUAGGUAGCAAAAUGCCUUGUCUUCUAAUUAGUGACGUAGAAUAAUCGGUUGAGGAGUUUUCCACUCUCAGUAUAUACUGUCUAAUGAAACCACGACCAAGGGAAUGGUUUUGGAGGAAUUAGUGGAGAAGGAAGGCCUUGCUGAGCUUGGUUCUAGUCCAACAUCGUGGAACGUCUUGGGGAUGUCUUGGGGGGGAGCUGCCUAUGUGUGAGCUUUUCGAUCAAAAAUUAUCACUGCCUUCAGUUUCGUUUCACUUAUCCCGUUAACGUGCAUCGCAUUCUACCCACAUGCUUUUACGCAAAUAUGCUUUUCGUGGUGGUAACGAAUACAGAAGACACAGUAAGGUGGCGAGCUUGACUGGGGCGGCACGUGUUUGAAACAGGAACGCAUAUAUCGUAGGACACGCUCAGUGAGACCCGAACAGACGUCUAAUGUUGACAAAAGGGGGAAGCCUGCUUGAUUUUUAUUUCUAGUACGAAUACGAACUGUGAAGGCAUGGCCCUUCGAUUCUUU
rnacentral:ncRNA from 1 species